UUCCGGUUGAUCCUGCCGGACCGACUGCUAUCGGAUUGAUACUAAGCCAUGCGAGUCAUUGUAGCAAUACAAGGCAGACGGCUCAGUAACGCGUAGUCAACCUAACCUAUGGACGGGAAUAACCUCGGGAAACUGAGAAUAAUGCCCGAUAGAACACUAUACCUGGAAUGGUUUGUGUUCCAAAUGAUUUAUCGCCGUAGGAUGGGACUGCGGCCUAUCAGUUUGUUGGUGAGGUAAUGGCCCACCAAGACUAUUACAGGUACGGGCUCUGAGAGGAGUAGCCCGGAGAUGGGUACUGAGACACGGACCCAGGCCCUAUGGGGCGCAGCAGGCGAGAAAACUUUGCAAUGUGCGAAAGCACGACAAGGUUAAUCCGAGUGGUUUCUGCUAAAGGAACCUUUUGUUAGUCCUAGAAACACUAACGAAUAAGGGGUGGGCAAGUUCUGGUGUCAGCCGCCGCGGUAAAACCAGCACCUCAAGUGGUCAGGAUGAUUAUUGGGCCUAAAGCAUCCGUAGCCGGCUCUGUAAGUUUUCGGUUAAAUCUGUACGCUCAACGUACAGGCUGCCGGGAAUACUGCAGAGCUAGGGAGUGGGAGAGGUAGACGGUACUCGGUAGGAAGGGGUAAAAUCCUUUGAUCUAUUGAUGACCACCUGUGGCGAAGGCGGUCUACCAGAACACGUCCGACGGUGAGGGAUGAAAGCUGGGGGAGCAAACCGGAUUAGAUACCCGGGUAGUCCCAGCUGUAAACUAUGCAAACUCAGUGAUGCAUUGGCUUGUGGCCAAUGCAGUGCUGCAGGGAAGCCGUUAAGUUUGCCGCCUGGGAAGUACGUACGCAAGUAUGAAACUUAAAGGAAUUGGCGGGGGAGCACCACAAGGGGUGAAGCCUGCGGUUCAAUUGGAGUCAACGCCGGG
rnacentral:rRNA from 1 species